AAUCAACGCUGGCGGCGUGCCUAACACAUGCAAGUCGAACGCGAGAGGGGCUUCGGCCCCAAUUGAGUGGCGAACGGGUGAGUAACACGUGGGUGAUCUACCUUUGUAGUGGGGGAGUAACGUUCCGAAAGGAACGCUAAUACCGCAUGACGUUCCGGGUUUGAAGACCUGGAAACCAAAAGCCGGGGCCCUUAGGUAACUUAAGGCCUGGCGCUUGGAGAGGAGCCCGCGCCUGAUUAGCUAGUUGGUGAGGUAACGGCUCACCAAGG
rnacentral:rRNA from 1 species